GACGAACGCUGGCGGCGUGCUUAACACAUGCAAGUCGAACGGAAAGGCCCUGCUUGCAGGGUACUCGAGUGGCGAACGGGUGAGUAACACGUGGGUGAUCUGCCCUGCACUUCGGGAUAAGCCUGGGCAACUGGGUCUAAUACCGGAUAGGAGCCAUUUUUAGUGUGAUGGUUGGAAAGUUUUUUCGGUGUAGGAUGAGCUCGCGGCCUAUCAGCUUGUUGGUGGGGUAAUGGCCUACCAAGGCGGCGACGGGUAGCCGGCCUGCGAGGGUGGACGGCCACAUUGGGACUGAGGUACGGCCCAGACUCCUACGGGAGGCAGCAGUGGGGAAGAUUGCACAAUGGGCGCAAGCCUGAUGCAGCGACGCCGCGUGGGGGAUGACGGCCUUCGGGUUGUAAACUCCUUUCGCUAGGGACGAAGCUUUUUGUGACGGUACCUAGAUAAGAAGCACCGGCUAACUACGUG
rnacentral:rRNA from 1 species